UUACCAAAUUAUUUGUUGGCAAUGAUGUCAUCACUUCUUACGCCUUCAACCAUGGUAUAUGACAUUGUAAAGCGGGAUUUGAGACUAAAUUACUUGAGACAUUGGCGGUGGAUGGGCCACACCCUUCGCAAGCUUGCAUCCAAUACGACGAGGCAAUCUCUCACACGGAAUCCCUUAGGAAAAAGGAAGAGAGGACGGUCUAGGAACACAUGGCUCCGGGACCUGGAUGCAGAUGCUAAGCAGAGGGGCCAAACAUGGGGGUAGCUAUAGAUACUCGCCCAGAAACGAGACGUCUGGUGAAAGCUGGUUUGCGGCAUAUGUCCCAGAUGGGACCACAGGCAAAGAUGAGAUGAAACAACAUUUUCAUUCAUCCAAAAGUCGUACUUUCAACGAUUAGGUUACCACCAGUAGUUUUUCUUAUGAGAAGACAACUACUGCAACUGCUGAAAAACUCUGUCAUCAAAGGCUAUCACGUUUUCCAAAUCCAUUCUCCAAACAUUUCCUAUUACGCAGUUGACGAUUGAUGAGGUGUACACAAAUACAAAUGAUGACAAAGCUGGUCUCGUGUGGAUCCCACCAUUAGAAUCCUUUCCUAGAGAUCUUCAUAAUCAGUUUACCAAUGAAAAUAACACAACUUAUAUUGAGUGAUGUAGCUGGCAUACCAGCUAGCCAUGUCCGUAAAUGUAUAACUGACACUUUGUUGUUCUGAAAUUGAUAAUGAUGGCAAGAUAUUUGUAGAAGUUGCAGGAGAUCGAUUGGCCAUUUUCCCCUUGGCAAGCUACAUAUCAGGAAGGUAAUAUUAUUGUCUUGCCAUGUGAUUAUGUUUUCACAGAUAUCCUCAACAGUUAAACAUUGUCAGGGUACGUUUUAGUGUAUUUCCCAUACCCGGAGUACAUUUCAGUAUGCUGAAUAUCAAAACAUUACUUCAGGAAUGUUUACAUAGUAUCAUAUAUGCCGAACAUUAUUUGAACAAAUGUCGAACAUUUGUGUUUACGAAUUUAUUGAGCACUUUUAUAUGCCCAUGUUGAUCGAAAGAAGAAUGAACGAUAUAACAGAAACUUGUUAAAUUGUAAACAUAAGUUAAAAAAGUUUAUUACUGUUUAAGUUGAUAUAAAAUAUGUUCAAUGAAUCAACUCUUUUAGUUUUAGUUGGCCUUAUGCGUAUUGAAACUAUAACAUUUGAAGGAUCAUUUUAUCUUGAUAUUGUUUUUAAUAAAACACAUAUAAACACAAUAUAUAAAUGACGUAUGUCGUUUCAUAAAUUAUCCAUAGAAAUGGGAAGUCUCUAGAACAUUGUAAGGGAUCAACGAAACUGUGUUUUAUGUAAUCUAAAUGCUAUCGAGGAUGUAUACUACUCUGUUCUAAAUGCCCCUAUUAUGCAGAUGCUAUGUAGUAAUUAUUUCUAAAGUAUUAUAGAUGCAUUCCAAAAAGUUCAAGUGUAUUUGCCUACUUAAUAACUCUAAUAAAACAUUCUUUAGAAAUGUAGCCACUUAUAGUUUAAAAACCUUUGAAAUACGAAAAUAAUAAGUUGUAUAUGUAGUAUAAAAUAAUGAUAUUUUUCUACUUAAACAAAUAUGGUACAUAAUAAUGUAAUGAUUGUUGCAAUUAUACGUUGAUAUUGCUAGUAUAUAGAGUAUUCGCCCUCACUUUAAUAACAUUUGAUGCACGUCGUCAACGAUAUACUUGCGGCACAAAACUCCCGAUGUUAAAGUUCAAGGCAUUAUUUGGAUGCUGUUGUUAUUUUUUGCCUUUUUUACUAUUUUAAUUUGUUUCGACUAUUUAAAAUGCUACCUAUUCCUUAGGAAAUACAUGUGCAUAUUCUUUAAUUAGACUAUAUAAAAGAUGAUACGUAAAUUAUCUCUAUUGUCU